GAUGAACGCUGGCGGCGUGCCUAAUACAUGCAAGUCGAGCGAACAGACGAGGAGCUUGCUCCUCUGACGUUAGCGGCGGACGGGUGAGUAACACGUGGAUAACCUACCUAUAAGACUGGGAUAACUUCGGGAAACCGGAGCUAAUACCGGAUAAUAUAUUGAACCGCAUGGUUCAAUAGUGAAAGACGGUUUUGCUGUCACUUAUAGAUGGAUCCGCGCCGCAUUAGCUAGUUGGUAAGGUAACGGCUUACCAAGGCGACGAUGCGUAGCCGACCUGAGAGGGUGAUCGGCCACACUGGAACUGAGACACGGUCCAGACUCCUACGGGAGGCAGCAGUAGGGAAUCUUCCGCAAUGGGCGAAUGCCUGACGGAGCAACGCCGCGUGAGUGAUGAAGGUCUUCGGAUCGUAAAACUCUGUUAUUAGGGAAGAACAAAUGUGUAAGUAACUAUGCAUGUCUUGACGGUACCUAAUCAGAAAGCCACGGCUAACUACGUG
rnacentral:rRNA from 1 species